UGAUAAGCGACUCAGGGCACGAGGUGGAUGCCUUGGGACAUGUUAGCGAAGAAGGACGGAAAGGCCACGAAAGAGUGCGGUGAGCUGCCAAAGAAGCAUUGACCCGCAUGUGUCCGAAUGGGGAAACCCCAUGGGAGUAAAGUCCCAUGAUCGUAAUCCAAGUAAAGUAGGGUUGCGAAGCAUACGGAGGGAAUUGAAACAUCUCAGUACCUCCAGGAAAAGAAAUCAAGCAAGAGAUUCCCCCAGUAGUGGCGAGCGAAAAGGGAAUAGCCUAAACCAGCACAAGUGAUUGUGACUGGGGUUGCGGGAGCCCAAUAUGGGACUAAAACUUAUAGCAGAAAGGUCUGGGAAGGCCUGCCAAAGAGGGUGAGAGCCCCGUAAGCGAAAUGAGUUUUAGCCUUAGGGAAUUCCCAAGUACCAUGGGGUCGGAGACGCCCUGUGGGAAUCCGGGUGCACCAUCAUCCAAGGCUAAAUAUGACAUGUCACCGAUAGCGCAUAGUACCGCGAGGGAAAGGUGAAAAGAACCCCGUGAAGGGGAGUGAAAUAGAAUCUGAAACCCCGUGCCUACAAGCAGUGGGAGGGCUAUGCCCGAAAGGGAAAUGCCUGACCGCGUACCUUUUGCAUAAUGAGCCAGCGAGUUAUUGUCGGUCGCAAGGUUAACCCGUCGAAGGGGGAGCCGUAGCGAAAGCGAGUCUGAAUAGGGCGAGUGAGUGGCCGGCAAUAGACCCGAAACGCGAUGAGCUAGACAUGACCAGGUUGAAGCGUCCGUAACAGGGCGUGGAGGACCGAACCGGUGCCCGUUGAAAAGGUCUCGGAUGAGUUGUGUUUAGGGGUGAAAGGCCAACCAAAUUGCGUGAUAGCUGGUUCUCCCCGAAAGCUAUUUAGGUAGCGUCUCAUGGAGAAUCGUUGGGGGUAGAGCACUGACUGGGCUAGGGGCCUUACCGGGUUACCAACCCCUAUCAAACUCCGAAUACCAACGAAUUUUACCCCAUGGGAGGCAGACGGCGGGAGAUAAGUUUCGUCGUCAAAAGGGAAAGAACCCAGAUCGCCAGCUAAGGUCCCAAAUUCUAUACUGAGUGGGAAAGGAUGUGACAAUCCAUAGACAACCAGGAGGUUAGCUUAGAAGCAGCUAUCCUUUAAAGAAAGCGUAAUAGCUCACUGGUCGAGGAUUGUUGCGCCGAAAACGUAACGGGGCUGAAGUAUAGAACCGAAGCUGCGAAUGCGUAGAGAUACCGUCUCUAUGCGUGGUAGGGGAGCAUUGUCUAAGCCGGAGAAGCGCAAGCGUAAGCAUGCGUGGAGGUAUGACAAGAGCUGCUGCUGGUAUGAGUAGCGAUAAAUUAGGUGAGAAUCCUAAUCGCCGUAAGCCCAAGGGUUCCUGCACACGGCUCGUCCGGGCAGGGUUAGUCGAGACCUAAGGUGAGGCCGAGAGGCGUAACCGAUGGAGAUGGGGUUAAUAUUCCUCAACUGGGCUGUAAUCGUUAUCAAUUGAGUCAGGACCGUGAAAGUCCAUCUGAGCCAGUCAUUGGUUGUACUGGUCUAACCAUGUAGAGGUGAUCUUUAGGUAAAUCCGGAGGUCAGUCAUCCUCGAGAUGGGAAUGCGAAGGGGGUAACACCUCGAGAAGUCAGAUGUACUCGGCACGCAAGAAAAGUGGCGCAAUGAGAUUACAGUUCACUCGUACCGGAAACCGACACAGGUGGGCGAGGAGAGCAUCCUCAGGCGCGUGAGAGAACUCCAGCUAAGGAACUCUGCAAAUUACUACUGUAACUUAGGGAUAAGGUAGCCCGAUAGUACUUGAAGUGCAUUUACUGCAUCAGGGGAAUUCGGGGGCAGAAACUAGGGGGUAUCGACUGUUUAACAAAAACACAGGGCUCUGCAAACUCAAUCGAGGAUGUAUAGGGUCUGACGCCUGCCCGGUGCCGGAAGGUCAUGGGGAGAGGUCAUAGACUUCGGUCUAGAAGCUUCGAACUUAAGCCCCGGUAAACGGCGGCCGUAACUAUAACGGUCCUAAGGUAGCGAAAUUCCUUGUCGGGUAAGUUCCGACCUGCACGAAUGGCGUAACGAAUUCCCCACUGUCUCGGCUGGAGACUCAGCGAAGUUGGAGUCGCGGUGCAGAUACCGUGUUCCUGCGGCAAGACGGAAAGACCCCGUGAACCUUUACUGUACCCUGGCAUCGAUCAUCUGGGAACCUUGUGUAGGAUAGGUGGGAGCCUUUGAAGCCUAGGCGCUAGCUUAGGUGGAGGCAACCUUGAAAUACCACCCUGGGUUCUUGGCUGAUCUCACCAUAGGUCGCAAUCAACCGGCCAUGGGACGAUGUCAGGCGGGCAGUUUGACUGGGGCGGUCGCCUCCCAAAGAGUAACGGAGGCGCACGAAGGUACCCUCAGGCUGAGUGGAAACCAGCCGUAGAGUGCAAGGGCAUAAGGGUGCUUGACUGCAAGACGGACAUGUCGCGCAGGCGCGAAAGCGGGUCCUAGUGAUCCGGUGAUUCUGUAUGGAAGGGUCAUCGCUCAACGGAGAAAAGGUACUCCGGGGAUAACAGGCUUAUCUCCCCCAAGAGUUCACAUCGACGGGGAGGUUUGGCACCUCGAUGUCGGCUCAUCACAUCCUGGAGCUGAAGAAGGUUCCAAGGGUUCGGCUGUUCGCCGAUUAAAGUGGCACGCGAGCUGGGUUUAGAACGUCGUGAGACAGUUCGGUCCCUAUCCGCCGUGGGCGCAGGAGAUUUGAGAGGAUCUGUCCCUAGUACGAGAGGACCGGGAUGGACGAACCAAUGGUGGACCGGUUGUUGCGCCAGCAGCAUAGCCGGGUAGCUAAGUUCGGAUCGGAUAACCGCUGAAAGCAUCUAAGUGGGAAGCCGACCUCAAGACGAGAUCUCCCUGAACUUCGGUUCCUGAAGAGCACUCCGAGACUAGGAGUUUGAUAGGCUGGGUGUGGAAGCGCAGUAAUGCGUGGAGCUGACCAGUACUAAUCGCUCGUGAGGCUUGACCAA
rnacentral:rRNA from 1 species